UGCCACGUUCCAAGUCCCUAUUCUUCCGGUCACCUCAGGAUGGUAUAAAAACUUCAGUCAUCUAAGACCCUCUUUUGACUGGGCGCGGUGGCUCAAGCCUGUAAUCCCAGCACUUUG